rnacentral:rRNA from 1 species
AUUGAACGCUGGCGGCAGGCUUAACACAUGCAAGUCGAGCGGGGGAAGGUAGCUUGCUACCGGACCUAGCGGCGGACGGGUGAGUAAUGCUUAGGAAUCUGCCUAUUAGUGGGGGACAACAUCUCGAAAGGGAUGCUAAUACCGCAUACGUCCUACGGGAGAAAGCAGGGGAUCUUCGGACCUUGCGCUAAUAGAUGAGCCUAAGUCGGAUUAGCUAGUCGGUGGGGUAAAGGCCUACCAAGGCGACGAUCUGUAGCGGGUCUGAGAGGAUGAUCCGACACACUGGGACUGAGAAACGGCCCAGACGCCUACGGGAGGCAGCAGUGGGGAAUAUAGGACAAUGGGGGGAACCCUGAUCCAGCCAUGCCGCGUGUGUGAAGAAGGCCUUAUGGUUGUAAAGCACUUUAAGCGAGGAGGAGGCUACUCUAGUUAAUACCUAGGGAUAGUGGACGUUACUCGCAGAAUAAGCACCGGCUAACUCUGUGCCAGCCGCCGCCGUAA